CGGUCCAAUUAUUUNAAUAGCUCUGGCUAUAGGAAAUUGUUAGUGGCAGACGGGUGAGUAAUGCGUAGGAAUCUACCUAGUAGUACGGAAUAGCCAUUAGAAAUGGUGGGUAAUACUGUAUAAUCCCCGAGGGGGAAAGAUUUAUCGCUAUUAGAUGAGCCUACGUUAGAUUAGCUAGUUGGUGAGGUAAUGGCUUACCAAGGCUAUGAUCUAUAGCUGGUCUGAGAGGACGAUCAGCCACACUGGAACUGAGAUACGGUCCAGACUCCUACGGGAGGCAGCAGUGGGGAAUAUUGGACAAUGGGCGAAAGCCUGAUCCAGCUAUGCCGCGUGAGUGAAGAAGGCUCGGGUUNAAACUCUCA
rnacentral:rRNA from 1 species